GGGGGGCGGUUACAGGAGUGACAUGGGGAUGCUCCAAUGUGCUGCCUAGAAUCAAAAGACAAAAGCUUUCCAAACAAUAUUGGGUGGUAAGCUAAAAAGCAAUUCUUUAAUGAAAGAUUUUAGAUGCGCAAAUAGAGCUAUGCACACACAUGAUACAGGAUUUCUACAGUUUUUAUAAGACUGGUGCAUCUAUCCUCUACAGUAAAGUGUUGAAGGUGUUCUGCUAUGGAACAGAGUUUUCCAUCUCUAAAACUGAUAUAAU